AUUGCACGCUGGCGGCAGGCCUACCACAUGCAAGUCGAACGAGUGGCGGACGGGUGAGUAAUGUCUGGGAAACUGCCCGAUGGAGGGGGCUAACUACUGGACACGGUAGCUAAUACCGCAUACCAUCGGAUGUGCCCAGAUGGGAUUAGCUAGUAGGUGGGGUAACGGCUCACCUAGGCGACGAUCCCUAGCUGGUCUGAGAGGAUGACCAGCAACACUGGAACUGAGACACGGUACAGACUCCUACGGGAGGCAGCAGUGGGGAAUAUUGCACAAUGGGCGCAAGCCUGAUGCAGCCAGGCCGCGUGUAUGAAGAAGGCCUUCGGGUGGUAAAGUACUUGCAGCGAGGAGGCGUUACUCGCAGAAGAAGCACCGGCUAACUACGGGCCAGCAGCCGCGGUAAUAC
rnacentral:rRNA from 1 species